UACGUAGGUUGCGAGCGUUAUCCGGAUUUACUGGGCGUAAAGCGCUUGUAGGCGGUUCCGUAAGUUGGACGUGAAAUCUCCGGGCUUAACUUGGAGAGGCCGUUCAAUACUGCGGGGCUUGAGGAUGUCAGAGGAAAACGGAAUUCCUGGUGUAGUGGUGAAAUGCGUAGAUAUCAGGAGGAACACCGGUGGCGAAGGCGGUUUUCUGGGACAUUUCUGACGCUGAGAAGCGACAGCUAGGGGAGCGAACAGG
rnacentral:rRNA from 1 species